AGCAAACCCUGAAUAAUGUCAUACCUGCUUAAAUCCCUAAACGCUGCAGGAGUUAGUUUAACGGCUGGUGAUGUUUUUGCUUCGUGAUCUAAAUGUUGGCAUGACAACGAAGAUUGCGUGUUCAUUCUGAAAAUAUGAAUUAAGUUGACGUUAACUCCACUAAGAACUUUCACAGGCAGCUGGUUUGAACCGGUUUUAACCGCAAUACAAGCAACAUACUGAUAGUUGCCUGGUCUACUGCAUGAAAAUACAACAGGUCGGGACUUGGAAAAAUAGACAAACAGAAGAAAGCAACGAUAAAGUGACAGUCAGUACAAGUUAAAAUGCUGGUUAAAAAGUAAAAAGUUUUCAAAAAAAGCAACUAAAGAAUGGUAGUUAAUAUGAAAUGUCAAUAUGAUAAAAAAUGGAAAACAGUCACUCCAUAAACUAAACUUAGAAAAAAUGCAAAAAAAAGAAACAACUAUACAAUGACAGUCAAUAUAUGAGAUUCUUAAAAUAUUUUUAAAAAUGACUGCUUAAUAAACUAAACCGUCCU